UACGUAGGGUGCGAGCGUUGUCCGGAAUUAUUGGGCGUAAAGAGCUCGUAGGCGGUGUGUCGCGUCGGUCGUGAAAACUUGGGGCUUAACCCUGAGCUUGCGGUCGAUACGGGCAUCACUGGAGUUCGGCAGGGGAGACUGGAAUUCCUGGUGUAGCGGUGAAAUGCGCAGAUAUCAGGAGGAACACCGGUGGCGAAGGCGGGUCUCUGGGCCGAUACUGACGCUGAGAAGCGAAAGCAUGGGGAGCGAACAGG
rnacentral:rRNA from 1 species